GUCAGGAUGGACGAGGGGUUUAAGGCGCUGCAAUCAGAUCGUAAUCCAAUUGCGUGGGCGUUGGUUCGAAUCCCACUUCUGACA